GAUGAACGCUAGCUACAGGCUUAACACAUGCAAGUCGAGGGGAAACGACAUCGAAAGCUUGCUUUUGGUGGGCGUCGACCGGCGCACGGGUGAGUAACGCGUAUCCAACCUGCCCACCACUUGGGAAUAACCUUGCGAAAGUAAGACUAAUACCCAAUGAUAUCCCAUGAAGGCAUCCGAAUGGGAUUAAAGAUUUAUCGGUGAUGGAUGGGGAUGCGUCUGAUUAGCUUGUUGGCGAGGUAACGGCCCACCAAGGCAACGAUCAGUAGGGGUUCUGAGAGGAAGGUCCCCCCACAUUGGAACUGAGACACGGUCCAAACUCCUACGGGAGGCAGCAGUGAGGAAUAUUGGUCAAUGGGCGAGAGCCUGAACCAGCCAAGUAGCGUGCAGGAUGACGGCCCUAUGGGUUGUAAACUGCUUUUAUAAGGGAAUAAAGUGAGUCUCGUGAGACUUUUUGCAUGUACCUUAUGAAUAAGGACCGGCUAAUUCCGUG
rnacentral:rRNA from 1 species